rnacentral:rRNA from 1 species
UACGUAGGGGGCAAGCGUUGUCCGGAAUCAUUGGGCGUAAAGAGCGUGUAGGCGGUCCGGUAAGUCGCGUGUGAAAGCCCCCGGCUCAACUGGGGAGGGUCACGCGAUACUGUUCGACUCGAAAGGCAGGAGAGGGAAGCGGAAUUCCCGGUGUAGUGGUGAAAAUGCGUAGAUAUCAGGAGGAACACCAAUAGCGAAGGCAGCUCGCUGGGGACGGUACUGACG